rnacentral:tRNA from 1 species
CAGAAUGUAGCUAAAGAUUUAAAGCACCUCCCUUACACCGAGAAGACAUCCGUGAAAAUCGGGUCGUUCUGA